UAAAUUCUUUCCUCGCUCUUACUCCUCAAAUUAAAUCUACAGGUCAAACUAUCUCCUCUUGCUCUCACUCUUUCUCGGUUUCGUUCCCCAAAAGCUACAGGUCAAACAUGCUUCUUCCACUUCUCAAACUUCCUUGCAAAGUCCUCUGUUUCCAGUGAGGGUUCAAACCCUUCUUCUUUAACAUGGCCUCUGUUUACAUGCCAAAUUUUAUCAAAUCCAUGGAAAUCCUCCCAUAGCAUGCAAGAUAAGGUUUUACAUAAUCUGAAUUUUGAUCAAUGCAGUUUUAACUAACAAAAAAAUUGAUUUUUAGGGGGGUUUAUAUAAGGUUUUCUUUAACAAAAGUUGCUGUUCUCUUUCCGGGCUGUGAUUUUGUUCAUGGUUAUAAGGUAUGCAAAGAAAAAAGACCCAUAAUUUUUCUUUUUUUUUUUUUUGUUUUGCAUGCUGUUAACAAAUUGGGCUGAUAAUGGUUUAAUAAAUAAUGAGUAGAAUUUGAGGGGUAGUACAUGAAAAAGUGUGUGGGGCUGUUAACAAAUUUGGUUGAUAAUGGUUCAAGGCCUAUUUCCCUG
rnacentral:lncRNA from 1 species